rnacentral:lncRNA from 1 species
UUUGACAUAAUACAACCAUGGUAUAGAGGCAAUACUGUUAAACAAGUUCCUGCAUUUUUCGACAGUCUGCAGCUUGAUAUUCUUACAGCACCUGAUCCAAAGGGUGACCGCCAAACCUGGAUCAGAUAUUCAAAACUUAUGAGAUCAGCACUUGCUCUGAAAGCACCAGCAGUAAGAUCUGGACUGAUCAUCAACUUCUAUAAAGUGCUCCUCUUGCGACUCGUAGUAAGGCCUUUAGACCUUCAAAAACUUCUAAAGAGGCUCAGAGAUAACUGGCGUUUGUGUGCAAGACAACUUGAGCCAUUCUUGCGAGUCUACAUGUACAAUAGUGACAUUUCAGAGAACUUCAUCUAUGAUAAAUGGGAACAGAAUCAUUGGCAUAUCAUGACAUACUCUCGGCACUUUAUUGAGCAUGCUCUUCUUUGCUUAAAGGUAACUGCCGACUGAUCUCACAUGUCUUCAAUUUCUCAUGUGUCCCCACCUGAGAGAGGAGCCCCUAUCCCACCAACAUUUGCUGACCGUUUCCUCAUGUUUCUAUUAGAGUAAGCUUCACUCUAGAGUACUGUUAAAAAUACAUAUAUCACUAGGAUUUUAACUUUAUUUUGAAUACCCAGGUUUCGAGCCGGUGGAAAUGCUGCUUUUUAUGAAGGUGUCGUAAGAGGAAUUAAAUCUAUUAAUUUGUUCACAUUGCACGUUCCAUUUUCAUUCAUUGAAUGGUAUGAUGGAGAACUUGCUAUCGUCCAGGAUGAGUACCCCAGGUUGGUGCAUUGCCCUCUAAGUUGAUAUCAUCCCUUCCAUAUCUAAGGCUGUUUUUAUUAAGAAAUCUUGUCUUUCCAGUGUAUACAAUGAACUGCUGCAUUCUGUUAUUUCCUUCCUUGUGAAACACGGUAUUGAUAAGAAUGUGGCAACAGAGCAUGCAAAACUUGAAAUAGUGGGUUUGCCAGAACCCAAAAGGUAUCCUUUUGUGAUCUAUCACCUGCUAUCUAAACAGAUAAUGACAAUUUGUAUUUGGAUCAACUAGGAAGCUGAUGAUUUGAUUGCAUUUUUUUUUCACAUGCAGCACCCAAAAGUUUGUGCGCAUUGUUGAAGAUAAUGAAAUGGUUCUUCCAUACAAACUGCACAACAAUAUUUGGGUAAAUGCGACUACACUGGCUGGAAGAGACAUGGGUCUUGGUUAUUUGAAUCAUAUGUUUGAUAAGUUUAAUAUUGGUAAAUGUUGGGGCAGAGGAGAAAAUGAAUGGGAUGAGAACAAUAUGGAAGUAAGGAGCAAAAGGUGUCAUCAAAAAAGAAGCUGAUCAAGAAGUAACUCAAAAUUUGGUUGUAUAUAACUUGCUAAAGUUAUUUGACAUAAUACAACCAUGGUAUAGAGGCAAUACUGUCAAACAAGUUCCUGCAUUUUUCGACAGUCUGCAGCUUGAUAUUCUUACAGCACCUGAUCCAAAGGGUGACCGCCAAACCUGGAUCAGAUAUUCAAAACUUAUGAGAUCAGCACUUGCUCUGAAAGCACCAGCAGUAAGAUCUGGGCUGAUCAUCAACUUCUAUAAAGUGCUCCUCUUGCGACUCGUAGUAAGGCCUUUAGACCUUCAAAAACUUCUAAAGAGGCUCGGAGAUAACUGGCGUUUGUGUGCAAGACAACUUGAGCUAUUCUUGCGAGUCUACAUGUACAAUAGUGACAUUUCAGAGAACUUCAUCUAUGAUAAAUGGGAACAGAAUCAUUGGCAUAUCAUGACAUACUCUCAGCACUUUAUUGAGCAUGCUCUUCUUUGCUUAAAGGUAACUGCCGACUGAUCUCACAUGUCUUCAAUUUCUCAUGUGUCCCCACCUGAGAGAGGAGCCCCUAUCCCACCAACAUUUGCUGACCGUUUCCUCAUGUUUCUAUUAGAGUAAGCUUCACUCUAGAGUACUGUUAAAAAUACAUAUAUCACUAGGAUUUUAACUUUAUUUUGAAUACCCAGGUUUCGAGCCGGUGGAAAUGCUGCUUUUUAUGAAGGUGUCGUAAGAGGAAUUAAAUCUAUUAAUUUGUUCACAUUGCACGUUCCAUUUUAUUCAUUGAAUGGUAUGAUGGAGAACUUGCUAUCGUCCAGGAUGAGUACCCUAGGUUGGUGCAUUGCCCUCUAAGUUGAUAUCAUCCCUUCCAUAUCUAAGGCUGUUUUUAUUAAGAAGUCUUGUCUUUCCAGUGUAUACAAUGAACUGCUGCAUUCUGUUAUUUCCUUCCUUGUGAAACAUGGUAUUGAUAAAAAUGUGGCAACAGAGCAUGCAAAACUUGAAAUAGUGGGUUUGCCAGAACCCAAAAGUUAUCCUUUUGUGAUCUAUCACCUGCUAUCUAAACAGAUAAUGACAAUUUGUAUUUGGAUCAACUAGGAAGCUGAUGAUUUAAUUGCAUUUUUUUUCACAUGCAGCACCCAAAAGUUUGUGCGCAUUGUUGAAGAUAAUGAAAUGGUUCUUCCAUACAAACUGCACAAUAAUAUUUGGGUAAAUGCGACUACACUGGCUGGAAGAGACAUGGGUCUUGGUUAUUUGAACCAUAUGUUUGAUAAGUUUGAUAUUGGUAAAUGUUGGGGCAGAGGAGAAAAUGAAUGGGAUGAAAACAAUAUGGAAGUAAGGAGCAAAGGGUGUCAUCAAAAAAGAAGCUGAUCAAGAAGUAACUCAAAAUUUGGUUGUAUAUAACUUGCUAAAGUUAUUUGACAUAAUACAACCAUGGUAUAGAGGCAAUACUGUCAAACAAGUUCCUGCAUUUUUCGACAGUCUGCAGCUUGAUAUUCUUACAGCACCUGAUCCAAAAGGGUGACCGCCAAACCUGGAUCAGAUAUUCAAAACUUAUGAGAUCAGCACUUGCUCUGAAAGCACCAGCAGUAAGAUCUGGGCUGAUCAUCAACUUCUAUAAAGUGCUCCUCUUGCGACUCGUAGUAAGGCCUUUAGACCUUCAAAAACUUCUAAAGAGGCUCGGAGAUAACUGGCGUUUGUGUGCAAGACAACUUGAGCCAUUCUUGCGAGUCUACAUGUACAAUAGUGACAUUUCAG